UGCCAGCAGCCGCGGUAAUACGGAGGGUGCAAGCGUUGUUCGGAAUUAUUGGGCGUAAAGCGCGUGUAGGCGGUUCGUUAAGUCUGAUGUGAAAGCCCUGGGCUCAACCCAGGAAGUGCGCUCGAUACUGGCGAGCUAGAGUACGGGAGAGGGUAGCGGAAUUCCCGGUGUAGAGGUGAAAUUCGUAGAUAUCGGGAGGAACACCAGUGGCGAAGGCGGCUUACUGGCCAGAUACUGACGCUGAGGUGCGAAAGCGUGGGGAGCAAACAGGAUUAGAUA
rnacentral:rRNA from 1 species